GAUUCAAUCCCCAUGUGCUUGUGUCAAUGCCUGCAAGGGAGCAAGCGUACUGGCGGGAUGGUUGGAAGGAGAGUAAUUUGCUACAAAGCUUAUUAUUUAUGGUUAUUUCCUGAAUCUCUGGUAUAAUAUACAAUACAUUAUGUAGAAACCAAAAUGAUGUUCAUAGAGAUCUCAGAAUUAGGUGAAUAUCAUUAUGCUUGUGUUAUCUUUUUCAUUUUAUGAUUUAGCACCAGUCGCCAACUAUGGUUACCGUGUGUGGCUUGAAUCCAAUAGCAUGUGAUUGAACAAAUGAACGAAAUAUAGGUGAAACAUUUAAUUUUUAGAAGAGAUGGGUGAUACGUACUUCCGUUCAAGUGUUCCCUAAAUUUUUUCAUAGUUUGCAUUGGGACACAGUAAUUGCUUAAAGCAUUUAUUUGACUGCAAUGUUGCUUGCCGGCAUCUCCGCCAUUCAUCUUGUCAUUGACAGAAACCCCAUCUUGUCACUGAUAGAACCCCAGGCUCUUCCACCUAUAGCAAACAAAUAAAAGGACUUGAUUUAUGGGCUUGUAAAUUGGUUGUAUCUACAUGGAAGGUUUAUGGAUUGUGAACCUUUUACUCCGUCUUAUCCUUAGGCUGCACAACAUUUACUUUAGCAAAGGUCUCUCUGUUGCUGAGAUUCUUAAAAAUGGAUGGGAGUCGGUGCAAAGUACAUGGACACAUUGGUGCGAUAUUUUAAAAUUGAGAAACAGCCUCCAAGCUACUUGUGAAGGUGUCAAUUUCUGCAUUGAUAAAGAUUCAAUUAUACUUCUGAUGGGAUUUUUUCUGUUAGCUGUCUCUACAAGAGAAUGAACUUGAGAAAUAUUAAUUUCUAGAUAAAUUUCUUUGGAAAGUGAAGCUUCCCCUGAAAAUUAAAGUUUUUCAUUGCUGGUUUUGAAAAAAUAAACAUACUAACUAAAGCCAAUUUAUUCAAAUGAUGUUUUCAGGGAGAUAAAACCUGUCAAUUACGUGGUAGAGAUUAGAUUAUUGGUGCAAAGGAAUCGGUAUUACAACAGAACUUGAAGCUGACGAGGAUGGUUGACGUUUGGUUUUGGUGGAAAGUCAGGUGCAUAUGAACAACCUAUUAUCUUCCAUUUGUUUUUCAUCAUUCAAUGGGGGCAAUUUCCUAGUUCUUUUUUAGUACUGUCUGGAAAGGUUAUUAGUACGGAUAUAAGUUUGUCAAAAUUUAUUAGCACAUAUGAGGUUCUUUGUUUGGACCCCCAUUGGCUCUACAUAAUUUUUUGGAGUGGGAUUCUAGAUAGCUGCUUUUAUAUGAACCUCGUAAAAAAGUAUUAUGCCGUUGAUCCUAACUGACUGUUUAUAUGUCGGACGAUUUCAACUUGCUAUGUCCCAACAUACUUUUUUUAACAAAAACUGUAGAAGUCCUAACAGUCUACACUUCUGCAUUGUAUCUUGAAAUGCAGAUCAUUUCUCUAGCAUUCUGGCAAAUGGUAGUUUGCAGAUUGAUGAGUUGGUUCCAGUUCCUUUAGCAGGUACAUCACAUCUCAAUCAUAAUUCUGCCCCACUACCCAACAAAAAAAAAUACGACGGUGAUGUUCAUUGGUGCUUGGCCUCCAGAAGUGGGUUUGUCGGAUUUUCAUUUUCUUUGUAUAAUAAAUGUAAUACAUAACUCCUGGAGCCUAUGGAUUUUGGGGAGAUAGUGUAUGUACUGUAGGUUCAUUCUGUUUUCUCCUAAUGAAACUUGGGGUGUGUGCACAAUUACAGAAUUACCAAGGAGACAUUUUUCGGACAGAAAGAAAAUCUAAUAUUUGGUUUCCGUCCAUUUUCUACUUGCAUUAGCAUUAUAAAACACAAUGAAUGUCCCAGUGAUUAAUCACAAAUAAUGCCCCGGUCUAUCCAUAGUAGCAUAAUGGGCCAAUGCUAGAAUAAUUGACAAAUCUACAAUCUUUUUUUUUUGUAAUGGUGGUGUUAUUUCUGCUAGAAUGAUUGCAUUUUAUGUAAUAUUGCAAAUAUACUCUUGGUCGAUAGAAAUGAUAUCUCCCUGUUUGGUCUCAGUAGGAACAAAUGCUCAAUAUCAAACAUCGUGAGAUAGUUUUUUCUCCCGUUGCAACACACGGGUUUAAAAGGAAAAAAGAAAAAGUAUAUGAGAUAGUGAGGGUUAGGGAUGAUUUGGAAAUAGGUCUAGGUUUAGGAAAUGUCGCAUACAACCCAUGUUAUGGUUAUUGGGUUAGGGCAGUGUGAUAUUUUCUUCUCCCGUUGCAACGCACGGGCUCUUUUGCUAGUAAUUAUAUGUAACCUUAUGUUCACAUGGAAGUUGUAAUGUAUCCCCAAGUGAAGAUGAGCUACAUACGAG
rnacentral:lncRNA from 1 species